rnacentral:rRNA from 1 species
AGCGAACGCUGGCGGCAGGCCUAACACAUGCAAGUCGAACGAACUCUUCGGAGUUAGUGGCGGACGGGUGAGUAACACGUGGGAACGUGCCUUUAGGUUCGGAAUAACUCAGGGAAACUUGUGCUAAUACCGAAUGUGCCCUUCGGGGGAAAGACUUAUCGCCUUUAGAGCGGCCCGCGUCUGAUUAGCUAGUUGGUGAGGUAACGGCUCACCAAGGCGACGAUCAGCAGCUGGUCUGAGAGGAUGGCCAGCCACACUGGGACUGAGACACGGCCCAGACUCCUACGGGAGGCAGCAGUGGGGAAUCUUGCGCAAUGGGCGAAAGCCUGACGCAGCCAUGCCGCGUGAAUGAUGAAGGUCUUAGGAUUGUAAAAUUCUUUCACCGGGGACGAUAAUGACGGUACCCGGAGAAGAAGCCCCGGCUAACUUCGUGCCAGCCGCCGCCGUAA